rnacentral:rRNA from 1 species
CCUACGGGAGGCAGCAGUGGGGAAUAUUGCACAAUGGGGGAAACCCUGAUGCAGCGACGCCGCGUGGAGGAAGAAGGUCUUCGGAUUGUAAACUCCUGUUGUUGAGGAAGAUAAUGACGGUACUCAACAAGGAAGUGACGGCUAACUACGUGCCAGCAGCCGCGGUAAAACGUAGGUCACAAGCGUUGUCCGGAAUUACUGGGUGUAAAGGGAGCGCAGGCGGGAGAACAAGUUGGAAGUGAAAUCCAUGGGCUCAACCCAUGAACUGCUUUCAAAACUGUUUUUCUUGAGUAGUGCAGAGGUAGGCGGAAUUCCCGGUGUAGCGGUGGAAUGCGUAGAUAUCGGGAGGAACACCAGUGGCGAAGGCGGCCUACUGGGCACUAACUGACGCUGAGGCUCGAAAGCAUGGGUAGCAAACAGGAUUAGAUACCCUGGUAGUCCAUGCCGUAAACGAUGAUUACUAGGUGUGGGAGGAUUGACCCCUUCCGUGCCGCAGUUAACACAAUAAGUAAUCCACCUGGGGAGUACGACCGCAAGGUUGAAACUCAAAGGAAUUGACGGGGGCCCGCACAAGCAGUGGAGUAUGUGGUUUAAUUCGACGCAACGCGAAGAACCUUACCAAGUCUUGACAUCCCUUGACGAACAUAGAAAUAUGUUUUCUCUUCGGAGCAAGGAGACAGGUGGUGCAUGGUUGUCGUCAGCUCGUGUCGUGAGAUGUUGGGUUAAGUCCCGCAACGAGCGCAACCCUUAUUGUUAGUUGCUACGCAAGAGCACUCUAGCGAGACUGCCGUUGACAAAACGGAGGAAGGUGGGGAUGACGUCAAAUCAUCAUGCCCUUUAUGACUUGGGCUACACACGUACUACAAUGGCGUUAAACAAAGAGAAGCAAGACCGCGAGGUGGAGCAAAACUCAGAAACAACGUCCCAGUUCGGACUGCAGGCUGCAACUCGCCUGCACGAAGUCGGAAUUGCUAGUAAUCGUGGAUCAGCAUGCCACGGUGAAUACGUUCCCGGGCCUUGUACACACCGCCCGUCACACCAUGAGAGCCGGGGGGACCCGAAGUCGGUAGUCUAACCGCAAGGAGGACGCCGCCGAAGGUAAAACUGGUGAUUGGGGUGAAGUCGUAACAAGGUAGCCGUAGGAGAACCUGCGGCUG